rnacentral:rRNA from 1 species
GAUGAACGCUGGCGGCGUGCCUAAUACAUGCAAGUCGAGCGAACGGACGAGAAGCUUGCUUCUCUGAUGUUAGCGGCGGACGGGUGAGUAACACGUGGAUAACCUACCUAUAAGACUGGGAUAACUUCGGGAAACCGGAGCUAAUACCGGAUAAUAUUUUGAACCGCAUGGUUCAAAAGUGAAAGACGGUCUUGCUGUCACUUAUAGAUGGACCCGCGCUGCAUUAGCUAGUUGGUAAGGUAACGGCUUACCAAGGCAACGAUGCAUAGCCGACCUGAGAGGGUGAUCGGCCACCCUGGAACGGAGACACGGUCCAUACUCCUACGGGAAGCAGCAGUAGGGAAUCUUACGCGAUGGGCGAAAGCCGGACGGAGGAACGCCGCGGGAGUGAUGAAGGUGUUCGGAUCGGAAAACUCUGUUAUUAGUGAAGAACAUAUGUGUAAGUAACUGUGCACAUCUUGACGGUACCUAAUCAGAAAGCCACGGCUAACUACGUG